UGCAAAACCCUGUGCACGCCUAUGACUGAAACAGUGUAGCUGCUUGUACCAGCGUAAAUGUAUGUAUUGUUUUCUGCAUAUGAAUGGCAAAAUGAUUUAGAGGAUAUCUGCAGCGCUAUUUUGUAUUGCUCCUCAUUGCAGGUGUGCAACCCGGAACUUUGCAUCCUUGUUGUGGACCCCCGGCUCCGCGGUUCGGGCCACGACUCUUGGGUGUGGCAGCAUAAUCCACUGUGUGCGCUCCUAGCCGCACAACUGCAGCCUGGCGAGUAUCUGCUUGGUGCCCAGCUACGACUAGUGCCAGGGAGCGCACCUUCUCCUGGAUGCCCUCCUGAGCCGCUGCCGUCUUCUCUGCCGCGACAGUGAGCCGGGUUGUGGAUUGUUUGAUCCUCCGCAGCACCUGAAAUGAAUAAUUGUGGUGGAAUUGUUCACAUGAGUUCCUGAUUACUCGCAACCAGCUCAUCGCUGGAAGCUGUUGUUGUUAGGAAUUGAAACGUGCACAACAAUUGCCCACAUCCCUCGCUGUAGCCACUGUGGUGUCUAUCCUUCCAACACAUCAUAUAUCCUAUGGCAAUGCCAUCCAAAACUACCCCCCCCCCUUACCCAAAACUUCAUCCCUCCCAUCUACCCCUUCCUCCGAGUGACUGACCGCCGCAGCCACCCUUCACGACCAACGAUUCCUUGCGGACUUCAUCGGCCUAGCGCUGAAGCACGCCGCAAGCGACGCCCUGGACUCAGGGCAUCGAUGCAUUUUUUUAUCGCAGAAUAAAGAAAGUGAUUUCUC